rnacentral:rRNA from 1 species
GUUUGAUCCUGGCUCAGGAUGAACGCUAGCUACAGGCUUAACACAUGCAAGUCGAGGGGAAACGAUAUUGAAAGCUUGCUUUCGAUAGGCGUCGACCGGCGCACGGGUGAGUAACGCGUAUCCAACCUGCCCAUAACUAAGGGAUAAUCCGUAGAAAUGCGGUCUAAUACCUUAUGUGAUCCGAGGAAGACAUCUGAUUUGGAUUAAAGAUUUAUCGGUUAUGGAUGGGGAUGCGUCUGAUUAGAUUGUUGGCGGGGCAACGGCCCACCAAGUCUGCGAUCAGUAGGGGUUCUGAGAGGAAGGUCCCCCACAUUGGAACUGAGACACGGUCCAAACUCCUACGGGAGGCAGCAGUGAGGAAUAUUGGUCAAUGGGCGGGAGCCUGAACCAGCCAAGUAGCGUGCAGGAUGACGGCCCUAUGGGUUGUAAACUGCUUUUGUAUGGGGAUAAAUUGCUCCACGUGUGGAGUAUUGCAGGUACCAUACGAAUAAGGACCGGCUAAUUCCGUGCCAGCAGCCGCGGUAAUACGGAAGGUCCGGGCGUUAUCCGGAUUUAUUGGGUUUAAAGGGAGCGUAGGNCGUGGAUUAAGUGUGUUGUGAAAUGUAGGCGCUCAACGUCUGACUUGCAGCGCAUACUGGNCCACUAGAGUGCGCGCAACGCGGGCGGAAUUUGUCGUGUAGCGGUGAAAUGCUUAGAUAUGACGAAGAACCCCGAUUGCGAAGGCAGCUCGCG